CACUGCCAUAGAUGUAGGAUAGUUAUCGCCAAGGAGAAUUAAAGGGCUUAUAGUAUGUGGCCGAAUAUUUUGGAAUUUUAUUGUGGAAUAUUUAUGUAAUGACGACUAAAUGUUUCAGUACACCACAGAAGAAAAAAAAAAGCUCCUGCUUACCAAACGCAUCCUAAACAUGAAACAGAGAGAGGGAAAAAAAGGAAAAAAAAUAUAGGGGAAAAAAAAGAUGGGUAUUCCUUAAAUACUUAAAUAGUGUAUGUGUUCGCCUCACAGUUUCGUGGCGACGGCUUGUGUACACUUCACAUUUGUAGAUUUGCAUGUUUACUUGGGGAGAUCAACUAAACGACAAUAUUUAAUCUUCUCGAUUUUUUAUUACAAGUAACUAUUUACCUAAUGUUCAUAUCAGUGCAAAAAAAAAUUGUAGAUAAAGACGAAGCCAGAGCCAAAAACAUCGAUUACCAUUCUCAUCUGUCAAAAUAUACAACACAUAUUCCCUCACAAAACUAUGAAAAAAACACCUAAUAAAAUACAAAAAGUAUAACAAUCUACAAUAAUAAGUGACAAGACGUCCUGAAACAUUGUAAAUAAAACAAAUAUUUAAACCGCCAGCCAUUGUCCAUUUUGUCACAGGGAGUGGCAGUGAAGGCGGACCCAGAUUUUUGUGUGUUUUCUGUGUACCCACGCCUACCAAGUACUCAUCAGGGUCCCCAUAUGACUUAAACCUCCCCUGGUUGGUGAUACAGAAGGCGAAGUGACUGCCACAGACUCCAGGAUGAAAGACUGAAAUACAAGCUGACCUGAACCAGAGGGAGAGAAAGCUACUAUACGGUGAGUACAGCAGUGAUAUCUGUGAGUCAACGUCACUGGUUCGCAUAACAACACGCAUCAAGGCACAGAAAGGUGAGGACAAGUUGCUGUUCUCACGCAUCAAGGCACAGAAAGGUGAGGACAAGUUGCUGUUCUCACGCAUCAAGGCACAGAAAGGGAAGUUGUCCUCAAACUUUGGAGGGAAGAGCAGCUCCUCCUUGAGCCGCGUCAUGACGGCCAGGCGCUCCAUGCCCGUCCCAAAGGGCACCAGCAUCUCAAAGAACACCAGGCCCAAGGAAUGACUGAGAAGAAAGGAAGGAAGGAAGAAAAGGGAGGAGAAUACAAGAAGGAAGGAAGGAAGGAAGAGGAGGACUAGGAGGAAGGAAGGAAGGAAGAGAAGAGGACAAGAAGGAAGAAAGGAAGAGAAAAGGAGGACUCUCUCUCUCUCUCUCUCUCUCUCUCUCUCUCUCUCUCUCUCUCUCUCUCUCUCUCUCUCUCUCUCUCACAGACCCACAGGAUGUCCCCCCACAGUAUGUUGACAAACCCCACAGUCACUCCCCCCCAGCCUCUCUCUCUCUCUCUCUCUCUCUCUCUCUCUCUCUCUCUCUCUCUCUCUCUCUCUCUCUCUCUCUCUCUCUCUCUCUCACCUACCUUCAUGCCCAGAAUAUGAACCCUGUCCGUGCCUGUCAGGAACUUCAAAAACCACUUCUUCUGCUCCAGGGAGAGUUUGUGAAAUACUUCCCAGAAUGUGCGUAUGACCGGGUGGUCUGGGAAAUAUUCGCCCUGGAAACACCGACAGAAAUCAAUAAACGGAAGGAUAUUAGUGUGAA